GCCAAUGAUGAGUUGUCCAUAAUUCGAGAUGUAGAUAACUUCCAAGUCCCUGUUUCAGGGAGAACCUACUUGGGGUCCUAUAUUCAAAUGAGAUGCAUGGGCAUUUACUGAGGU